rnacentral:lncRNA from 1 species
AAAUAAUAAUAAUAUACAAAAAAUAAAUAAUAAACAAUAAUAAUUAAUAAUAAUAACAAAAUUGAUGAAUAACAAUAAUAAUUAUACUAAUAAUGAUAAUAGUAAUGAAUAAUAAAAAUAAUAGUGAUAAUUAGUAACUUUAGAAUAAUUAAUAAUAUUAAUAAUAAUAAUAAUAAUAAGUCAAAAGAAAAAUAUAGAAAAGAAAAUAAAAGAGAAAAAAUAAAAAUUAGAAAAAAAGAUGGGGC